AUUUAUUAUCUGUUUCCUCAGGUCUGCACAAUGUGACUCGUGAACAUGUGACAAAAGCUCAGGUUCCAAAAUUACCUAGGUGCACCUCUGGCUGCAGCCUCCACUCUAAAAAUAGUGAAGAUCACUGUAUACAAGUAUUUAGGCACUCCAGACCUACUGAUGACCACAUCGAAAAGUAUUUGGGCUGCAAUUGAAGCGGAAUUGGUUCUGGUGAGGAUAGCUUCUAUCCAUUUUGAAAAGUGAUCCAGAAUUACAAGACAGAACUGAUUUCCUUUGGCCAUUCAAGGCAUCGUCUCUAUGUAGUCCAAUUGAACGUGGCUGAUUACGGAGUCUACAUGCUGGUGUCUGAUGGGGGCUUUAAUUGUUUGGCAGUCAGCGUUAACUCUGGCACUUGACAAACAACUUUCACAAAAUGCAUCACCCAUACCAGGCAUGGGCAUAACUAUGAUUAGGCAAGGGGAGACAGUUGUUUGGGGCCCCCACUGCCUCGAGGGCCCCCCGCAGAGACACGUCACAUGACUCCCCAUUGCCCACCUGCCCAUCCCCAAGGCCCCUCAGCCACUUGCCCUGUUCACCCUCUCUCCUGCUUGCCCUCCUGGUCGGAAAUCCAAGCAGCCUGCAAGCUGCUAGAGCUCCUCUCUCUGCCUCUCAGCUGAUUGGCGGGUGGGCAGGGCUUCCAGAGAGGCCUCUGUGUAGGCCUCACUGAAGCUGAAGCUCUCCGAGCAAGCAAGGAAGGAGGCAGGCAGAGUGGCCAUCGCUGGCUGCCCUUACCCACCAGAGUUUUCUACAGACCCUCUGCCCAGCCCAGCCCAGCCCAACCCAGCCUUGGCCAGGAAUGGAGGUAGAAAAUGAAUCCCUUUUUAUUUAUUUUGUGGUUACCCCCACCCCCUGGAUAUAUAGGGAUCUGCUUGCCAUAGGGCUUUGAUAUGGGGGCGGAGGACUGAGAAGUCUCUGAAUAUUUAAUUUAGAACAGAUUGGAAAUUUUGCUGGCUUUUAAAAAAAGCUAUCUAAAAAGUCCUAUAAGUGGCUUGUUUCAGGGCAGAAAAUUACAAAAACUUCUGGAAUAAACAAUAUUAUAUUUAUA